rnacentral:rRNA from 1 species
UACGUAGGGGGCUAGCGUUGUCCGGAAUCAUUGGGCGUAAAGAGCGUGUAGGCGGUCCGGUAAGUCCGCUGUGAAAGUCGGGGGCUCAACCCUCGAAUGCCGGUGGAUACUGUCGGGCUAGAGUGCGGAAGAGGCGAGUGGAAUUCCUGGUGUAGUGGUGGAAUGCGUAGAUAUCGGGAGGAACACCGGAGGCGAAGGCGGCUUGCUGGACCUGGUCUGACGCUGAGGCGCGAAAGCGUGGGGAGCGAACAGG